AGUGAACGCUGGCGGUAUGCCUAACACAUGCAAGUCGAACGGCAGCACAGUAAGAGCUUGCUCUUACGGGUGGCGAGUGGCGGAGGGGUGAGGAAUACAUCGGAAUCUACUUUUUCGUGGGGGAUAACGUAGGGAAACUUACGCUAAUACCGCAUACGACCUACGGGUGAAAGCAGGGGAUCUUCGGACCUUGCGCGAUUGAAUGAGCCGAUGUCGGAUUAGCUAGUUGGCGGGGUAAAGGCCCACCAAGGCGACGAUCCGUAGCUGGUCUGAGAGGAUGAUCAGCCACAAUGGAACUGAGACACGGUCCAGACUCCUACGGGAGGCAGCAGUGGGGAAUAUUGGACAAUGGGCGCAAGCCUGAUCCAGCCAUACCGCGUGGGUGAAGAAGGCCUUCGGGUUGUAAAGCACUUCUGUUGGGAAAGAAAAGCAGCAGGUUAAUACCCCGCUGUGCUGACGGUACCCAAAGAAUAAGCACCGGCUAACUUCGUG
rnacentral:rRNA from 1 species